GAUGAACGCUGGCGGCGUGCCUAAUACAUGCAAGUCGAGCGAACGGACGAGAAGCUUGCUUCUCUGAUGUUAGCGGCGGACGGGUGAGUAACACGUGGAUAACCUACCUAUAAGACUGGGAUAACUUCGGGAAACCGGAGCUAAUACCGGAUAAUAUUUUGAACCGCAUGGUUCAAAAGUGAAAGACGGUCUUGCUGUCACUUAUAGAUGGAUCCGCGCUGCAUUAGCUAGUUGGUAAGGUAACGGCUUACCAAGGCAACGAUGCAUAGCCGACCUGAGAGGGUGAUCGGCCACACUGGAACUGAGACACGGUCCAGACUCCUACGGGAGGCAGCAGUAGGGAAUCUUCCGCAAGGGGCGAAAGCCUGACGGGGCAACGCCGCGUGAGUGAUGAAGGUCUUCGGAUCGUAAAACUCUGUUAUUAGGGAAGAACAUAUGUGUAAGUAACUGUGCACAUCUUGACGGUACCUAAUCAGAAAGCCACGGCUAACUACGUG
rnacentral:rRNA from 1 species